AACGAACGCUGGCGGCGCGUUUUAAGCAUGCAAGUCGGACGGUAGAGGGAGCUUGCUCCCUUGAGAGUGGCGCACGGGUGAGUAACACGUAGGUGAUCUGCCCUGAAGUUGGGGAUAGCCUGUGGAAACACAGGGUAAUACCGGAUACGAUUGUCACCGUGAGGGUGAUAAUGAAAGGUGCCAAGGCACCGCUUUGGGAUGAGCCUGCGGCUCAUUAGCUAGUUGGCGGGGUAACGGCCCACCAAGGCGACGAUGAGUAGCCGGCCUGAGAGGGUGAACGGCCACACUGGGACUGAGACACGGCCCAGACUCCUACGGGAGGCUG
rnacentral:rRNA from 1 species